GUAGUCUCGCACAGAUGCAUAUCAAUAAGCGGAGGAAAAGUAAACUAACAAGGAUUCCCCUAGUAACGGCGAGUGAAGCGGGAAGAGCUCAAAUUUGAAAUCUUAAAGGGUUUCCCUUUACGAAUUGUAGUUUAAAGAAGUGUUUUCUGUUGAGGUUUUGGUAAAAGUUCUUUGGAAUAGGACAUCAUAGAGGGUGAGAAUCCCGUAUUUGACCUUUACUUUCAACUUUGUGAUACACUUUCAAAGAGUCGGAUUGUUUGGGAAUGCAGUCCAAAAUGGGUGGUAAAUUUCAUCUAAAGCUAAAUAUUGGCGAGAGACCGAUAGCGAACAAGUACCGUGAGGGAAAGAUGAAAAGAACUUUGAAAGAGAGUUAAACAGUACGUGAAAUUGUCAAAAGGGAAGCGUUUGACACCAGUGUUGUUUUUCUGGAAAUCAAUUAAAGAACUGUUUAUGCUAAGCUGUUUAGACUUUAUCAGCUAUCUGUUUAGUUUUGAGCUUUUCUUUAAUGCACUUUUCAGUUAACAAGUCAACAUCAAUUUCUUUUGCUGUAAAAAAGCUUGAGGAAGGUGGCUUGAGAUUCGUCUUAAGUGUUUAUAGCCUCUUGCCUAUGCAGUCGGAGAGACUGAGGUCUGCAGCGUAGAUCCUUCGGGGCUAAAUGCAUUUGUGCUAAGUUAUAGCAUUUUAUAGACAACUUGUUGACUAUGAUUUGUCUUGUAGCUUACUCGCUUAUGUUAUUUUACCUACGCUUAGGAUGUUGAAGACUCUACAGAGAUA
rnacentral:rRNA from 1 species